GCCGGGACGGACAGCGGCUUCACCUUCUCCUCCCCCAACUUCGCCACCAUCCCGCAGGACACGGUGACCGAGAUAACGUCCUCCUCUCCCAGCCACCCGGCCAACUCCUUCUACUACCCGCGGCUGAAGGCCCUGCCUCCCAUCGCCAGGGUGACACUGGUGCGGCUGCGACAGAGCCCCAGGGCCUUCAUCCCUCCCGCCCCAGUCCUGCCCAGCAGGGACAAUGAGAUCGUAGACAGCGCCUCAGGUAACGGACAUACGGGUCACACGGGACACACAGCAGCCCCGAACCCUGCCACAGGGUGACCACCAAACCCGAAUCUAAGGCUCUGAGAAAUUCCAAGUAGGGAUUCGUAGUGCGUACUGCAAGAUGGUGCUUAGAAGAUUUAGGAUUCUGUUGAUUCACACACUGAAGAUGUGACUCUUGCACAUUAUUUGCAGUUGAAAGCAUCUUACAGGGCCACAGCCCAGAGGAAAGAAUGAAAGGAGGAUCCAGACAGUACCUGAGAGACUCUGUCCUGUCAGACACGCACCCACAGGUGACCUGUGUGUCACAGCUGACAAGGAAGCUUGCUAGGAUGGCCCUGUCUGUGUGGCCACCGGGUGACAGCUAUGCUGCAGGGCACCUGUGGGGGUCUCGGGACCCAGCCACCACACAGCUCGGGGCUCUGCUCACAGGCGCCUUGGCCUGGGGUGGGGCAGGUGCUGAUGAGCAUUCCCCUAGCUCUUCCAGGCACCUGCUGGACAGGGCAGGCUGGGAACGCUGGGGCCGAGUGGCAGUUCCCUCCCUGCUCAGCUGGGUGGCAGCCACUGGCCCCACGGAGCGCCUGUGGUCUGGAGCGCAUUGCUGGGUCGUGGGUCAGGGCCUGUUGGCUCUGGGUCUCUGGGUC
rnacentral:sRNA from 1 species